rnacentral:rRNA from 1 species
UUUUGAUUAAUAAUUUAAAGUCUAAUCUGCCCCCUGAUAAUAAUAUUAAAGGGCUGCAGUAUUUUGACUGUACAAAGGUAGCAUAAUCAUUAGUCUCUUAAUUGGUGACUUGUAUGAAAGAUUUGAUGAAAUAUAUACUGUCUCUUUUUAAUUUAUAAAAUUUAAUUUUUUAGUUAAAAAGCUAAAAUAUAUUUAAAAGACGAGAAGACCCUAUAGAGUUUUAUAUUUAAUUAAAUUAAAAUUUUUUAUAAGAUUUAUAAUUAUAAUUUUUUUUGAAUAUUAUGUUGGGGUGACAAAAAAAUUAAAAUAACUUUUUUUUAUAAAUUAACAUUAAUAAAUGAGUCAAUGAUCCGUAAUUUACGAUUAUAAGAAAAAAUUACCUUAGGGAUAACAGCGUAAUUUUUUUUUUUAGUUCAAAUAAGAAAAAAAGUUUGCGACCUCGAUGUUGGAUUAAGAUAAAAUUUAAAUGCAAAAGUUUAAAAUUUUUGAUCUG